GGCGGGCUUGGCGGCGAAAGGCGCUUCCUCAGCCCGCGCGGGAGACCCAGAAGUAGUACUGAGGUAGCGCUCGUCCUCCCGCCGGUCCACCACCACCGAGUGUAGCCCGGGCCCGGCCUAUUUCAUCAGACACAACCCCAGAGCCGGGAGCCACCCCUACCCCGGGAGCCCUUCGCCAAGCACGCAGCUCCAGACCAGAAGCAGUCGCUCCGACCCAGAGCUCCGGGUGGGGCAGAAGAAUCUUUUCUUGCUGCUCUCCUAGGAUCUACCAACCAGAGAUUCUAAUGUGAUACGUUUGGAAUGGAGUUAUCGAUCUGCAUUUUUAAUAGGCAUUCCUCCAGGCUUGGGUCCCAGCUCCAAAAUGUCUCAUUAUCUGUAUUUGAAUAUCCCCAAAUUUGAAAAAUUCAAAAUCUGAAACACUUCUGAUCCCAAGCAUUUCAGACUCCUAAGAGUUAAUACGAAGUAGAAAGAGAAGUUGGAGUUAAGCAGCUCGUUCCAGUUCUGAUUUUGCCAUUUCCUGUCUGAGUGACCUGAAAGCAGAAAGAAAGCAGCAAGUGUUUCUGCCCGGAAUCACAUGAGGCAAGACUCAACAGAAGAUGGAACAUUUAAGCAGGCCUUGAGGCCAACAGCUGCCCAUUGUCACUGGUUCUACCUUUAGCAGCAUCUCUCUCCUCUCCUGAUAUCCUACAAGCCUGGAAACCUGGGACUGUUCAGAGCCCCGAGAGCUAGAAUAAGUGUGCCAUGUAAUGUGGAUGUGAGUAGUAAGACAGAAAAAUAAAAAACAAACUGUGGCGGGAGGCUAAUAAGACCCCCAUAGACAAACGUUUAGGUUGUUUCUAAGCUUUCGCUUUUUACAAUGUUGUAAUGAAUGAUUGUGAGCUCAUUCCAUGUAUUUGUGAAUAUAACUGUAAGAUAAAUUCCUAGAAGAAAAGGUGCUGGGUCAAAGGGCACGUGAUUUAAAAUCUUGAUCCUAGAAGAUAGUGCAAGUUACAUUCUCACCAGUGAUGCAUGAGAGAACACAUUUCCUUACAUCACAGCCAACACAAGGGACUGGCCGCCUUAAGCAGGGCUGCACAGGAGGAAAUCUGUCUCCUCCCCGCUCUGCUGAAACACUAAAUGAAGAACUUUUUAAUUGUUACUGAGUAUCUGAGUCAUUGAAUUCCUCAGUUUUCUGGAACUGUGAUCACACAAGGCUUCGCUUUAGAACACGGAUACUCUACAUAGUAAGAAGCUACAGUUGAACUGCACAUGCCACCCUCAUUACCACUCUCAUCAAAUGCUGUAGCUUCAACUUCCUCCUUCAAUCCAGUUUAAAGACUGGGACAUGGAAAAUAAGAAAGUGUUCGGACAUUUUCAGAAUGGAAUAACGCGUGUGAAGGGCGGGGUCCUGAUGCAGUGGCCACAGGCACACCUGAAGGUGUAGAUUUUCUUUUUGGGACAAAGACUCCCUAUUGUCCUUCAAAAAAAAAAAUCUUAUCAUAUUUUAAUUAUAUCACCCAGGAAAAUAGACUGUCCUGGAAAACAAAAGUCACCAGCCUCUGCUAAAGCUGGAGUCUUUAGGGGUAAAAUCAGGGGCACAGGUCAAACAUAGUUUUCGGUGACCUAUGUCUGCAAGGCAGUCAGAAGCAAUAAACUGUGCAGGGUUGAUUAAGCUUGAUGAUAUCAAUGUACUCUAUUGAGUAUUGAAAUAUUGAAAUAUUUGUGAUGUUAUCUAUUUAUUUGUAUUGUUCCAUGGGUAUGUAUCUCCUAUUUGCUUUCAUCAGAGAUUCAGAGGACAGUCCUCAAAAUGAAAAGAUUCUUGUAGUUGUUUUCUGAAACAUCCAAGAAGUACCUGGAAAGACAAAGGGAACAAAUAACUACUACUAUUAAUCAUUGGACGCUGAUAAUGUGCUAAAGGUGAUAUCUUAUUCACAACUGCACCAUGUAAGUGAUCAUCCAACAUUCUUCAGUGUUGUACUCAAGGCUCAGAGAGGGUAAGAAACUUGCCAGAGUCAUCCAGCAAGCAAGGAUCAAAUCUGGGAUUCAAAACAGGCCCCGAAGCCUCCAGAGCCUAGAGUGGGAGCUGGCACUGACAUGAGGACGGGAGAGUGGAAAAAGAAUCCUAGGAUUCCUGCAACGAAGCAGGUCUGGUCCCGACAAGGGGCCCCAGGCCUCACAGGGGGACUUGCCCAGUGAACACAGGGUGCCGGGAACUCCGUACCUCCCUCCUGCAGCCCGCAAUUUUCCAUCACCAUUGGAGAGCUGUUUGAAAUACUACAGCUCCAAUCCCCAUGACCCUCUUGAAAUUCCUCCACCAUCCCUGAGGCCUCCCAGUCCCAGUGUGGGAAAUUCUGCUUUAGAGGGAUGUUAUGAAUAUUAAGGAACAAGUGAUUAUUAACCUUUUGGCAAACAUACAGUCCUAUAGAAAUGUUAACCGUAUGUUCCCAUUUAACUUCAUUUAUAGCACUUGGACGACACUAAGACAUUUGCCUCUUGUUUAGGACUUAUACUAGUCAGAAUUUGCAAAGAAAUCAUUAGGCACUUCCUACAUAAGGCAUAAGAGACGCUGUCUACAUCUUCGUGCCUUCUGAUCCAGAGGGUUUGGUUUGGUUUGGUUUUUGCUUUGAAUAAUACCCUGUAGUUGACUGAGUCUGUUACAAAUAAUCUCUUAAUUAUGUGACUUACUCCACUCAAAAGACUUCAGCAAUUCACCAUUCCUCUGAGACCAUUUACAGGUUAUUAAAAAAUCUAAGUUCCGUAUAGUUGGCCUUCAACUUGGAUGUUAAGCUUGACAUGAUUCCUUUCCACGUGUUUUCAUUUUCUUCUGCGACAGCACCUCCUGCCCCCCAGAAUAGUGCAUUUAUCUCCCAAAUUCAAUCAUCUAUAUUAACUGGGGACCUGCUAUCUGGAUAAGUGAUAUCCACAAGUGUUCCAAGAAACUUUAAUAUUAAUAACUUUAUCGCAAUCAAUAGUUCCAAAUUCAUCAGACAGGAUUUCACUAGAGUUGCCAAAAAGGAAUACAAUUUAACUGCUCUGAGAGCCUUCACCCUGUUCUCAUCCCGUGUUUCCAUGGAAGAUGCAAAGAACAGAGACACACGAGAAAGGUGGACAGGCAGAGUCAAGAAUGAAACGGAAUGAGGUCUCUGUCAACAAGCUGGAUAAUGUCCAUUUCCCUGAGCUUGAGUCUGUUCCUCUCUGUUCCUCCUUCUGUUUUUUCUCUCUCCUCACUGGAGUGCUAAUGAAUACCUUCCACUGCUCUGGAAUGCCAUUAUGUUGUGAUUGUCCUCCCUUGCGAGGUCUUUGCAGAGGCCACGAUGAGACCGGUCUCAUCCACGGCUUUGUGUCCUCCUCCCUGAUACAGUCCCCAAAGGCCCUCUCCACUCAGGGCUCAAGUUCCACUCACUGGGUGGGUCAUACCCCCAGCCCUGUAAAAUGUUUCUGAAGGAUUGGGGCUCUGACAUACCUCACCCAAAUCUUUUGCAUCUUUAAUAAACGAAGUUAGUACCAAGAUAUCUUAAAGCAAUCAAGUCUUCAUUUACACCCUUUAAAUAUCUGUAGACAGUUAUCAUGGCCCUCUGUCAAGCAACACGAUGACCCGGU
rnacentral:lncRNA from 1 species